AUUGAACGCUGGCGGCAUGCUUUACACAUGCAAGUCGAACGGCAGCACGGGCUUCGGCCUGGUGGCGAGUGGCGAACGGGUGAGUAAUGCAUCGGAACGUGCCCAUGUUGUGGGGGAUAACUACGCGAAAGCGUGGCUAAUACCGCAUACGCCCUGAGGGGGAAAGCGGGGGGAUUCUUCGGAACCUCGCGCAAUUGGAGCGGCCGAUGUCAGAUUAGCUUGUUGGUGAGGUAAAGGCUCACCAAGGCGACGAUCUGUAGCGGGUCUGAGAGGAUGAUCCGCCACACUGGGACUGAGACACGGCCCAGACUCCUACGGGAGGCAGCAGUGGGGAAUUUUGGACAAUGGGGGCAACCCUGAUCCAGCCAUGCCGCGUGAGUGAAGAAGGCCUCG
rnacentral:rRNA from 1 species